rnacentral:rRNA from 2 species
GGGUUGUGAGGUUAAGCGACUAAGCGUACACGGUGGAUGCCCUGGCAGUCAGAGGCGAUGAAGGACGUGCUAAUCUGCGAUAAGCGCCGGUAAGGUGAUAUGAACCGUUAUAACCGGCGAUUUCCGAAUGGGGAAACCCAGUGUGACUCGUCACACUAUCAUUAACUGAAUCCAUAGGUUAAUGAGGCGAACCGGGGGAACUGAAACAUCUAAGUACCCCGAGGAAAAGAAAUCAACCGAGAUUCCCCCAGUAGCGGCGAGCGAACGGGGAGGAGCCCAGAGCCUGAAUCAGCAUGUGUGUUAGUGGAAGCGU